GAAGAAAUUAUGAUCCAAUUAUAACUCACUAUAUCAUGUUUAUGUAAAUUAGUAUGUAAAUGUAGCAAAAUCGCACUCUUUUUUUUCCUCUAUAUUAUGUAUUAUUGAAUGGGUUGUGCUACAUGUAAAGAAUGGUUUACAUAAACAUGAUGUUGUGAGAUAUAAUUAAUUCAUAAUUUCUUUAACCCAAAAAAAGUAAAUAAAUAAAUAAAUUCUCCACUCUCUUUUUGACACCUUAUUAGUAUGUAAGUUCAGCCUCAAUUUGGGGUUCAUUCACCUCUACAGGUUCAAGAACAAGUUUAGUUUGCUGAUGAACAAGAUUAUUAUUAUCAUCUUCAGGUUCACGUUCUUCAAGUUCAGCCUCAAUUUGGGUUUCAUUCACCUCUACAGGUCCUGAGUAGAUUUAGUUUGCUGAUGAACAGGAUUAUUACUCAGGUUGAGGUAAGUCAAAUUUAGCUAACUUCAUCUCACUUUGAACUGUCCUGUCAUUUUCAAAUUUAUUUAUCUUAUUAAAUUCUUGUUUUAGACAUGACAUUUCAAAUUCAUUGAAGACUAUAUGUCUACUAUUGAUGAUCUUAAUGCCUGGGACACCAAAAACCCAUAACAUGUAUUUUUUCACACUUUCUAGGUAACCGAGUGAUAAGUGUAUUUUAUACACUUAUUUGGGACUCUAAAAUAACGAUAUUUGAUAGUCCUUUGACAAAAUACAUUCUAAAUUGUUGUCUUUUACGUUUAACAGGUGAAAAUCUACGAUUGAAAAGGAAGUGAAGGAGAGAAGCAAAAACGAGCGAAAAUAACAAAAUCCAAAGUACGUGGAUUAAAUUGGCCAUUGGAUGCAAUUUUUGGGAAUCAAAGUCUAACUAUAAAAAUUGGACUGAUUUGCAUCGCUUUGAAAAUUGAGUACUUAGAGAAAAAUAAUCUACUAAGUGGGCUCAAUUAGACUUGCUUUGAAAUUCAAAUUGAAGAUUUACUAGGACGUUGGACCUCUAAUUGGACUAGAAGAGGUGCUAGGUUGCAUUGCAUCAUAGGAUUCAUAUAUAUACACACAGAAAAUCCAAAGAGCCGGGGGGAGCAGCCUGGGAAAUAAUAUACAUUGGCGGCUACAAGAAUUAGGGAGACAGAGAAAAAAACAAGAGGCUGGUCGGCAUCUUUGGGAGGAGAAUUCUGCCAUUAAAGAUAUAAACACUAGUGCCGACUACUGGGGGAAAGAGUGGAGAAAAAUUUGUGCUUUACUGGAGUGAGAAACACGCACAUAAAACGAAGGAAGAGGGGAUAGAUACAAGUUGCUGGCGGCAAGGAAGAAUUGGAGAAGAAAGAAGCAGCCAAUUAAUACUUAGACUCACGCACAAAGAAAACGUCACCAGCUAGGAGGAACAAUAAUUAUAUACACGCAGUUGCAAUAUUAUAUAUUUACACAAACAUUGGGCGGUGACGUGAAGGAUUGUUCGGCACAAACACGGAAGUAGAUAUAUACACAUACGCCUACAGAUUCAUAAGGGUUGUUGCCGGCUGGUUUCAUUAAAAAAUUAUACACACGGGAAGACACUUUGGCAGAAAACAUAAAACACAUACACGCAUAGCAAAGGCCAGAUUUGGAGAUUGAAUUGAAGGUUGUUUUUGGAGGGUUGCUUUUGGCUGAAAUAUAACACAUUGGCAUGAACUUUUUGGAAAGAAAAAGAUACAAAAAGGAGGCAACCCAUUGAAAUAAAAAGAGAGAGACGGAGAUUUACUUUGGAAAUUAUUCACGUUUCGUCAAUUUCUCGGUGAUGUCCUUCCAAUUUUAUGUGUUUAAUUUCAACAUCAUGUCAGGCUAAUUUUUCUCAUGUAUUGGAUGACGAUAAAACUCGUUAUUAUUUAUUUUUAAUUCAAGACAUGUGGUUUAAUUAAAUUCUUGCAAUUGUUGAUUAAUCUUGCAUGCAUGCUUUUAUUAUUUGAUUGCCUGAUCAUCAAUUAAAUAUAUAGUUGCUU
rnacentral:lncRNA from 1 species